UACGAGGGGGGGCGAGCGUUGUUCGGAAUUAUUGGGCGUAAAGGGUGCGUAGGCGGUUCCGCAAGUCCUGUGUGAAAUCUUCGGGCUCAACUCGGAAGUCUGCACGGGAAACUGCGGGGCUUGAGUGUGGGAGAGGUGAGUGGAAUCCCGGUGUAGCGGUGAAAUGCGUAGAUAUCGGGAGAACACCUGUGGCGAAAGCGGCUCACUGGACCAUAACGUGACGCUGAUGCACGAAAGCUGGGGGAGCAAACAGG
rnacentral:rRNA from 1 species